GAGGGUAUAACUCUGUGGGAGAGUGUAUGCUUAGCAUGCACGAGGUCCUGGGUUCAAUCCCCAGUACCGCCA
rnacentral:tRNA from 1 species